AGGACGAACGCUGGCGGCGUGCCUAAUACAUGCAAGUCGAACGGUCUUUCUAUGGAAGCUUGCUCCACUGAGAAGAUAGUGGCGAACGGGUGAGUAACACGUGGGUAACCUGCCCAUAAGAGGGGGAUAACAUCCGGAAACGGGUGCUAAUACCGCAUAGUUUCUUGAUCGCAUGAUUGAGAAAGGAAAGACGGCCUUUGUGCUGUCGCUUAUGGAUGGACCCGCGGCGUAUUAGUUAGUUGGUGAGGUAACGGCUCACCAAGACGAUGAUACGUAGCCGACCUGAGAGGGUGAUCGGCCACAUUGGGACUGAGACACGGCCCAAACUCCUACGGGAGGCAGCAGUAGGGAAUCUUCCGCAAUGGACGAAAGUCUGACGGAGCAACGCCGCGUGAGUGAAAGAAGGUUUUCGGAUCGUAAAACUCUGUUGUCAGAGAAGAACAAGUUGGAGAGUAACUGCUCCAGCCUUGACGGUAUCUGACCAGAAAGCCACGGCUAACUACGUGCCAGCCGCCGC
rnacentral:rRNA from 1 species